rnacentral:rRNA from 1 species
UACGUAGGGCGCAAGCGUUAUCCGGAAUUAUUGGGCGUAAAGAGCUCGUAGGCGGUUUGUCGCGUCUGCCGUGAAAGUCCGGGGCUCAACUCCGGAUCUGCGGUGGGUACGGGCAGACUAGAGUGAUGUAGGGGAGACUGGAAUUCCUGGUGUAGCGGUGAAAUGCGCAGAUAUUAGGAGGAACACCGAUGGCGAAGGCAGGUCUCUGGGCAUUAACUGGCGCUGAGGAGCGAAAGCAUGGGGAGCGAACAGG